AUUUAUAUAUGCCGCAUCUUGAUAAAGUCUAGGCUCUCACUUUAGAUGUCGCAGCUCAUAUUCAUUAAAUUUCUUUUAACUAAACUACACUCUUGAUUCUCAAAUUAAGAGGUGUGUGACGAUUAUUUUUUUUUUUUGUAAAUUUUGACUUGAACUUUUUAAAUUUUUACAAUUAAGUUCUCACAACCCAAACUAGUCAAAUAAGUAUUAUAUAAAAAAUGUAUCAUCUUAAUUAUUACUAGGUCAUCACAAUAUUUUUACAUCACCUUUAUAUUAGUGGCACGAUAAUAUUUAACCUAAAAAAAUUUUGUUGUGCGACUCAAUUACAAUAGUUCAGAAAAGUCCUAGCUGUAAAUUACCACGAAUAAAAGUUUGAAGGUCAAAAAUGUAAUUUAACUUUUUUUUCAAGAAAUAUUUUAAAUAUCGCCUCUGUGGUUUCGCACUUUCUUACUUCAGUACCCUGUGAUUUAAAAUAUAUCAAUUUAGUACCAUGUGAUUUUAUUUUCUUUUUUAUUAUCCAUUUCACUUAUUUUUUUUCAUUAAAUCAGUGACAAAGUUAAAAACCAAAAGGUAAUAAAGUGAAUAUUUCGAUAAAUCUAAGUGGAGUAUAUGAAGUUUUUUGUAUAUAAUUUAACGAAAAUAUUACGAAAAAGUUGACGAAAAGAGAAAAAUAAAACCACAGAGUAUUAACUUGAUACAUUUGAAAUCACAGUGUACUAAAGUGAAAAAGUGUGAAACCAUAGGUGUACGUGGUAUUUGAAGUUUACCUUUUUUUUUAAAAAAAAAAGGAUAAACUUCAAAUACCAACCCUGUGGUUUCGCACUUUCUCACUUUACUACCCUGUGGUUUAAAAUAUAUCAAAUUAGUGUCAUGUGAUUUUAUUUUUAUCUUUUCGUCGGCUUUUUUGUUAAUAUUUUGCUAAAUUAUAUACAAAAAUUUCAGGUACCCUACUUAGGUUUAUCAAAUAUUCACUUUAGUACAUUUAAGUUUAACUUUGUCAGUGAUUUAACAAAAAAAUUAGUAAAAUCGAUAAUAAAAAGAUAAAAAUGAAACAAUGGCACAUUAACUUGAUACACUUUAAAUCACAUGAUACUAAAGUGAGAACGUGUGAAACCACAUGGGUGGUAUUUGAAAUUUUUCCAAAAAUUUAUGGCAUAUAUCAUCA
rnacentral:lncRNA from 1 species